GAUUGGUUACCUUGUUACGACUUAGUCCCAAUCACCAAUCCCACCUUCGACGGCUCCCUCCUUGCGGUUAGGCCACCGGCUUCGGGUGUUACCGACUUUCGUGACUUGACGGGCGGUGUGUACAAGGCCCGGGAACGUAUUCACCGUAGCGUUGCUGAUCUACGAUUACUAGCGACUCCGACUUCAUGAGGUCGAGUUGCAGACCUCAAUCCGAACUGAGACCAGCUUUUUGGGAUUCGCUCCACCUUACGGUAUUGCAGCCCUCUGUACUGGCCAUUGUAGCAUGCGUGAAGCCCAAGACAUAAGGGGCAUGAUGAUUUGACGUCAUCCCCACCUUCCUCCGAGUCGACCCCGGCAGUAUCCCAUGAGUUCCCACCAUAACGUGCUGGCAACAUAGGACGAGGGUUGCGCUCGUUGCGGGACUUAACCCAACAUCUCACGACACGAGCUGACGACAACCAUGCACCACCUGUGUAGAGACCUUGCGGGGAGUGCAUUU
rnacentral:rRNA from 1 species